ensembl:lncRNA
GUAAAGGACAGAGGUCACGACCUAGUAGCUAGCGAUGCUAAGACGUACACGGCGAGCUAGCUUGUGACCACAGGUGGAGACAGAGCGUCGCUAACAAAGUGCGUUUUGAACACACGUCUUGGGGAGAGACUUCCUGCGUCAGCGUCUCAACUCAAAUCCUGAACUAUGCUGCGACCCACUACGGGCGACAUGCAUGCUGCCAUUAAAGGGCUCGUAUGCGCCUUUAGUUCACAGGUCAUCUGCCUCCUCAUGUUGUGUUUAAGGGGCUCAGACACUAAAUCUAUUUAAAUCACUAAAUAGAGAAUAAAUCUUUGUUGGGGUUUUCGCACCAAGCUGAAAGUCGUGUAAGCAGAUUUAUUUCAGGAUUCUGAGGUGCAAGUUUUCUACUCCGACCUGUGACUUCCUGUCGCCGAGCCACAUAGAGAGCAAGGACACACACACACACACACACACACGCACACACACACAACGAUAUCGCACACACACACACACACACACACACACAACGAUAUCGCACACACACACACACACACACACACACACACGGUAAUGAUGUGUAAUUACACAAAGCCACCAUGCUGUUUAGCUGCUCGGCUGUUAUAUUGGCUUCCACAGAUAGCAUUCACACACACGCACACACAAACACACACAACUUGUGCACACUGCACUGCUGCAUUCAUAGGCAGACACACAAACACAUCAAUACACCCAGUGUGCAGGAAGGUGUGUGGUUUGUGGUGAUAAAGUGUAGCUGAACAAUGUUUCUGCCUUGAUACACACACACACACACACACACACACACACACAGACUCACACACAAUAAAGUGGCAUUGCCGAUCUGCUGAUUACAACCACAGAAAAGAACCAGGCGGAAAAUACGGGAAACGCCCCAAGAUAAGACCAGAGAAACGUGAAGAUGGCCGAGGGAAUAAAGACAGGAGGAGGUACACGGGGAGGAGGAGGAAGAGGAGGAGAAGGAGGAGGAGAAGGAGGAAGAGGAGGAGGGAGUAAGAGGAGGAACAGGAAGAUGAGGAGGAGGAGGAGGAGGAGCAAAGCAGCCGAGAACACGCAGAUCAUCACGCUGCUCAUAUGAAACGCAGCAUUGACACUAAAGUCUAUCUGUCAACUAGUGAACACACAGACACACAAAUUGGGUAAACAAAGAGUGUGUUCAGACUGUUAAAACGAAAAUCUAUACAUCUAAAACAUCAACGAUUAAAGGUGGAGAAAAAAAAUAUAUUUUUCAUCCAUUCAUGAAAUAUAAAAUGUUGUCAUCAAAGCAACUUUGACAAAAAACGUAAAAACAUCAUCUAAAAUGACGUCUCAUUUUAUGACGAAAGAGAAAGACGUUCAAAUCAGAGUAAAGCUUAUUAAAUAAAUCCUCAAUUGUAAAUCCUAUUUUAGACGUCGUCAUGGUGACGUGACAUGUGGCAACAAAGUUCCACAUCUUUACACCAUCUAAAGCCCUCACACACUCACCACAUCAUUUAUCACAUGACAUAUAUCAUAUCUCAUGUGUCAUUUAUCAUAUCAUCAUAUGACAUAUCUCAUAUCUCAUGUGUCAUUUAUCAUAUCAUCAUAUGACAUAUAUCAUAUCUCAUGUGUCAUUUAUCAUAUCAUAUGACAUAUAUCAUAUCUCAUGUGUCAUUUUACAUAUCAUAUGACAUAUAUCAUAUCUCAUGUGUCAUUUAUCAUAUCAUAUGACAUAUAUCAUAUCUCAGGUGUCAUUUAUCAUAUCAUCAUAUGACAUAUAUCAUAUCUCAUGUGUCAUUUAUCAUAUCAUAUGACAUAUAUCAUAUCUCAUGUGUCAUUUAUCAUAUCAUAUGACAUAUAUC